AAAAUAACACAUUUCUAAGUUUAUGUCACAAAAAUAGUCCUCAAAAACUAAAAUGACCAAAAUAGCAUUUUAUCUUUUGAAAAAUGUAAUUUUUUUUUAUUUUUCAAAAUUUGAAAUCUUAUCUCAAAACCCCACUUCCCAACUCUAAACCCUAAACCUUAAACUCUAAACCCUAAACUCUAAACCCUAAACCCUAAAUUCUAAACCCUAAACCCUAAAUCCUAAACCCCACCCCUUAACUCUAAACCCUAAACCCUAAACCCCAUCUCUAAACUCUA
rnacentral:lncRNA from 1 species